rnacentral:rRNA from 1 species
UACGGAGGAUCCGAGCGUUAUCCGGAUUUAUUGGGUUUAAAGGGUGCGCAGGCGGGAGAUUAAGUCGGCGGUGAAAUUUUGCAGCUCAACUGUAAAAGUGCCUUCGAAACUGGUUUCCUUGAGUGUAGAUGAAGUAGGCGGAAUUUGUGGUGUAGCGGUGAAAUGCAUAGAUAUCACGAGGAACUCCGAUUGCGCAGGCAGCUUACUAAACUACUACUGACGCUCAGGCACGAAGGCGUGGGGAUCAAACAGGAUUAGAUAUCCCGGUAGU